rnacentral:rRNA from 1 species
AACAAUGAUCAUAUCACGUUGAAUACAUCGGUUCUCGUCCCACCAUCGAAAUUAAACACAGUCGGGCGCGGUUAGUACUUAGGUAGGGAACCUCUUGGGAACACGGCAUACAGAUA